rnacentral:lncRNA from 1 species
GGAUGUGAGGGCGAUCUGGUUGCGACAUCUGUCACCCCAUUGAUCGCCAGGGUUGAUUCGGCUGAUCUGGCUGACUAGGCGGGUGUCCCCUUCCUCCCUCACUGCUCCAUGUGCGUCCCUCCUGAAGCUGCGCACUCGGUCGAAGAGGACGACCAUCCCCGAUAGAGGAGGACCGGUCUUCGGUCAAGGGUAUAAGAGUAGCUGCGCUCCCCCGCUAGAACCUCCAAACAAGCUCUCAAAG